rnacentral:rRNA from 1 species
AUGAUUUGCCUCAGAGCCAUCCCCUCCCCUCGACUCCUCCACCUACCCCUACCCCGCCUCGCCUCCUCCCCGCUCCGCCGCCUCAGGCCCUCCGCCGCAGCCAUGUCCUCCUCCCCCUCCGUCGCCGCGCCCACCGUAGCGGCACCGGUCGAGCACAUCGUGCUCAUCAAGGUCCGCCCGGAGGCCGUGGCCUCGGGGGCCGCCGCGGCGAUGGUCUCCGCGCUGCAGGCGCUCUCCACGCUCGUCCCGGGGGUCUCCUACAUCCACGCGGGCCCCGUGCUCCGCCUCCGCUCCCCGGCCGCCGAGGCGCUGGGCCCCACCCACCUCCUCCACUCCCGCUACGCCACCAAGGCCGACCUCGCCGCCUACGCCCCGCACCCGGCCCACGUGGCCGCCGUGCAGGCGCACGUCGCCCCCAACGCGCUCGACGCCACCGCCGUUGACUGGGUCAACGCCGCGGGCGCCCCGUCCCCCGUCGCCCCCGGCGCCGCCGUGCGCCUCACCCUCGCCAAGGUCAAGGAGGGCGUGGAGGUCGGGCAGCUCGUCGAGAAGGUGGCCGCGGCCACCAAGGACGCCGGCGAGGCCAGCGGCGCCAAGGUCAGCUUCGGGGAGAACUUCUCCCCCGCGCGGGCCAAGGGGUACCAGUUCGGGAUGGUGGCCGUGUUCGGGAGCGUCGAGGAGCUGGACGCCGUGGAGGGCGACGGCAAGGUGGAGGAGGCCAAGGCCGCCCUCAGGCCCAUGCUCGACGAGGUCAUGGUGCUGGACUUCGUCGUCGACGCUCCGGCGGCCGCGAGCCUCUGA